AGAUUGAUCAGCUGGAAGGUCUUACAAACACAGAGUUCAGACAAAUGGAACAAAAAACAGCAAUGUGGUUAGAAAACAAUGUACGAUUUUCAACUGGGUCGACGAUAGCACGCUCAGAGAAAGCUAUGAGCGUUGUGAGUGAAGGUGGAUUAUCGUCGAUGGAGCCGCACAGUCCACGUACGCCCACGACACCUACGGCACCUGGGUAUAGGGACAAGAGUUGGGUAUAGGAAUAACUGAACUUUCAAAUAAAAACCCCUGAAAUAUUGGUAGAUUUUAAUAGUAAUACUAAACCUUGCAGUAGAAAUACUAAACCAUUUAAUAGAUAUGUACCAAUGCCCAAUGGGUCGUUCCAGAAAAUAUCCACACUCGCCCCAACUGAGGAAAUUUCUGCCGUUGAUAAUAGCAAGUGUGUUAGGGCAUUUAAAAGGGGUAGGGGGCUUAACCUCCAAUUUUUGGCUUAUUUAAACAUAUGUCCUUUAGUACAAAAUAUCCACUAAAAAACCCAAAUCAUAGGGAGAUGAAUAUUUUCGGAGGUUUAUAUUUGAAAGUUUAGUUUGUUUAAAUUGCAACUGGUACUUACCCUCACUAGAAAUGGCAAGAACUAAAUGAACUGAUCCUAUUUAAAGGAAAAUAGUAAAUUGGCAAUAUCACGUGGAAACACACUUUUGUCUAUGGAAAAUUACUCAUACAAAGAGAUGGGAUUAUUAUAUACUAGGUUUUUUUACAUUGCUGUUUGUUGAACAUUGAAAGAUGUACAUUUUAUACGUCAAAAUUUUAUACUAUACUCAAUGUAAUGAUUGUUGAAAAUAUUUUAUAUAAGAACAAUACUUUCUGUUCAUGAUGUCAUAUUUAAUAUUAAUUAAUUCCUAUAAAUAUAUAACAUAUUGAAAUUUGAAAAUAUGAAUUAUGAACUAGUAUCUGUCACAUACAUAAACUUUAUCAUAACGUGAAAAUUUAAACUUGUGCCGAUGUAAUGUUCCUCCCUAUGAAAAUAUAAAUCUUAUAUUAUUUAAUACUAAAUUGCAGGGCCAUACACAACUAUAGAAAACUAUAUUUACGAUUUUUAGAAUGUCAUUAAUUAUUAUUUGGAUAUUUGGUACAUUUUUCGCACAGGCCUUUCACCCCCUGAUGAAAAAAAUCCUGUGUAUGGCCCUGCUAAAUUGCAUCAUUAUGUAACUGCAAAAUAGUGACUAAUCGUGAUAAAUCAUAAUAAAAAAUCUUGAUUAGUGUUUGAUUGAAACUUACAUUGUUAACUCAACUAUCUAUCGACUAAUAAAC